CACCACAGUUGUUGUGUGAGAAGUUUAUAGCCUGGCACUGCAGCCCGGAGGCUCCUGAGGUGCCCUGUGUUUGAGUGAGAAGAGACUUUGGCCGGGGCAGCUGAGCUUGAACCUGCCUACAGCUCCUGUCUGGGAGCAUCAAGGCAGGGGAGCUAAUUUAGCUGCAGCUCAGCUGGAAGCUGGAGAGCUUCCCAUGGCUGGUUCUGUACUGCGGAGAGCAUUGCCGCUCACCUGGAACAGACCCAUCAUGGAGCAACUUCAUAAAUUUGAUCUACCCGAGUGAUUUCUCUGAUUGAACAUGACAGCACAGAAACACACAGGCAGAGAAGUGGAAAUCUUAAGGACUACGUGGUUCUGAACGUGUCUCUCCACCCUCAGUUUGAAAUCCUAAUAUUAAUCUCUUUUCUCCUUAUGUGUUUCACCUUAACAUGUGUUGUUUGUGUGUGUGUUUGCUCAAGACCCACCUGAGGUAAGAUGCAGGUACAACUGGGCAGGAAUGA